AUUGAACGCUAGCGGGAUGCCUUACACAUGCAAGUCGAACGGAGUGGCGAACGGGUGAGUAAUGUAUCGGAACGUGCCCAGUAGCGGGGGAUCACUACGCGAAAGCGUAGCUAAUACCGCAUACUAUUGGAGCGGCCGAUAUCGGAUUAGCUAGUUGGUGGGGUAACGGCUCACCAAGGCGACGAUCCGUAACUGGUUGGAGAGGACGACCAGCCACACUGGGACGUAGACACGGCCCAGACUCCUACUGUGUACAACAGGCUUAAAUUUUGGACAAUGGGGGAAACCCUGAUCCAGCCAUCCCGCGUGUGCGAUGAAGGCCUUCGGGUUGUAAAGCACUUUUGGCAGGAAAGCGGUAUCUAACCAGAAAGCCACGGCUAACUACGUGCCAGCAGCCGCGGUAAUAC
rnacentral:rRNA from 1 species